CACGCCGUAAACUAUGGAUGCUAGCUGUUGGACGUAUCGACCCGUUCAGUAGCGAAGCUAACGCGUUAAGCAUCCCGCCUGUGGAGUACGAGCGCAAGCUUAAAACAUAAAGGAAUUGACGGGGACCCGCACAAGCGGUGGAGCGUGUUCUUUAAUUCGAUGGUAAGCGAAGAACCUUACCCAGGCUUGACAUCCUUGGAAUUUCUGCGAAAGCAGAGAGUGCCUUCGGGAAUCAAGUGACAGGUGA
rnacentral:rRNA from 1 species